UGGGCCUACGGGACGCAGCAGUAAGGGAUAUUGGUCAAUGGGGGAAACCCUGAACCAGCAACGCCGCGUGAGGGAAGACGGUUUUCGGAUUGUAAACCUCUGUCCUCUGUGAAGAUGAUGACGGUAGCAGAGGAGGAAGCCCCGGCUAACUACGUGCCAGCAGCCGCGGUAAUACGUAGGGGGCAAGCGUUAUCCGGAUUUACUGGGUGUAAAGGGAGCGUAGACGGCAGUGCAAGUCUGGAGUGAAAGGCGGGGGCUCAACCCCCGGACUGCUCUGGAAACUGUACGGCUGGAGUGCA
rnacentral:rRNA from 1 species